CGCCUAACGAGCUAGGUGGAAGCUUGAUGAGUGAACGGGUCAAACGAAUCAAGAAGGAAAGAAGAAAGCGUAUUCAGAUGCGAGGUACACUUUGGAUGCCGGAAGACGAUCAAGCUCAACGAAGGACCGAACACGAUAUAGAUACAUGCUUCCGCACUUUGACACAUUGCAAAUUUUAAACAACGAAUUCAACCACGUUAUGUAGAAUAACUUAUGAAUUGUAAAAGUUUUAUUAAAUUCGUAUUUUUAUAGUAUGUGUAGGCUUAACUACACAUCUAA